AGUCCCUACGGGAGGCAGCAGUGGGGAAUAUUGCGCAAUGGGCGAAGGCCUGACGCAGCGACGCCGCGUGAGGGAUGAAGGUCGUCGGAUCGUAAACUUCUGUCAGCAGGGAAGGACGGUCACUGUGCUAAUCAGCAGUGAAUUGACGGUACCUGCAAAGGAAGCAUCGGCUAAUUCCGUGCCAGCAGCCGCGGUAAUACGGAGGGUGCGAGCGUUAAUCGGAAUUACUGGGCGUAAAGCGCUCGUAGGCGGUAUGUCAAGUCAAGGGUGAAAUCCCCGCGCUCAACGUGGGAACUGCCUUUGAA
rnacentral:rRNA from 1 species